UACGUAGGGGCCGAGCGUUGUCCGGAGUUAUUGGGCGUAAAGCGCGCGCAGGCGGCUUCGCGCGCCCGCCGUGAAAGCCCCCGGCUUAACCGGGGAGAGUCGGUGGGGACGGCGGAGCUUGAGGGCGGGAGAGGUCGGUGGAAUUCCCGGUGUAGUGGUGAAAUGCGUAGAUAUCGAGAGGAACACCUGCGGCGAAGGCGGGUUGCUGGGCUGACACUGACGCUGAUUGUGCGAAAGCUAGGGGAGCGAACGGG
rnacentral:rRNA from 1 species